AUAUUAUCCUUUAAUGUAAUUUGUGUAGUAAAUGGCACAAAUUACAGAGAUGCUAUUGCUGAGAUUAACAGGGGUUACAGUGGUAAUCCACAGGGUAUAUCUCUAAUGAUCCUGAAGGGUGCUGGUGUACUUGCUUGGGGGUCAGAAUCUAAUUCAAAGUGAGUCACCAUCUUUCCUUGCCAGAGACCCCCUGGACAGAAGUUGUACUUUGAAAACCUAAGUGAGUAAUUAGGACUUCUGUAUUUUAUUCUUUUUGUUUUUUAUCUGUUGUUG